ACCGAUAGCAACCACGUGAUCAGUAAAAAUCGUGUAUUUUCACGUGAAAUUAUUUUUCGGAAUUCCGUACAUCGCCAUAGAGUAGUUGAAAAACAAAAAGGGGUUCCGAAAGUACAAGUUGUUGCUGUGACUGAAUCGAUGAUUGAGAGGGUCGUCUCGACGAAAGAUAUAGAAAUUUGGCCAUAAUUUAGAUUAGGAAUACGUCAAUGUAAUAAUAGUGGACUAAAUGUUUCGUCCGUGCAGAAUGGCACUUUUUACCUCACGAAAUUCACCACUAUGCAUAGCUGUGCUACGUAAACAAAGUUGUUGAUGUAGCGUGAUCGUGAUGUCCGAGUGCUGCGAGUUUCAAUACUGUUUAUGUAGUCAUUGAGAGUUUAAACAAAGUUUCUUCUGAGAAGAGGAAUUCGAUGGAUGCAUUCAACGUGGACAACGAAAUCAUAAUUUCGUUUGCAUCAUCCUAAGGACCAGUGCAAGUUGAAAUGGGCUUCCAGCCAACAACUUCAACAGCAAUUUGCCAUGAAAAUCAGCAAGAAAGGUACUUCAUUUACAUUGAUGAUGUCAUAUCCCCUGGACCCCACAACUUUACAGGUUACAGAGAAAAUUCAAGAACUUCUGCAAAAUGUGGGACUUGGAUAGAAUCAAUAAUGUAUUUGUGAGCCCAGAGCAAUGGAUAUAUUGUGCAACAUACUAAAGUGUGAAUUUAAUGGAAAACAAGUACAUGUACUCAUGUAUUAUAUGUCUUUUUUAAAGACAAUAAUAUUGUAUAAAUAUAGAGGAAGUGUCAUUGUUGAUUAUUCUAAGUUUUUGAUAUAUCAAAAUCGGUAAACAUUUCUAAAUGAAAAUAAAAUACCAAUUUUAUAACUUUAA